rnacentral:rRNA from 1 species
GGCGUGCCUAACACAUGCAAGUCGAACGGAGAAUUUUAUUUCGGUAGAAUUCUUAGUGGCGAACGGGUGAGUAACGCGUAGGCAACCUACCCUUUAGACGGGGACAACAUUCCGAAAGGAGUGCUAAUACCGGAUGUGAUCAUCUUGCCGCAUGGCAGGAUGAAGAAAGAUGGCCUCUACAAGUAAGCUAUCGCUAAAGGAUGGGCCUGCGUCUGAUUAGCUAGUUGGUAGUGUAACGGACUACCAAGGCGAUGAUCAGUAGCCGGUCUGAGAGGAUGAACGGCCACAUUGGGACUGAGACACGGCCCAAACUCCUACGGGAGGCAGCAGUGGGGAAUCUUCCGCAAUGGACGAAAGUCUGACGGAGCAACGCCGCGUGAGUGAUGAAGGAUUUCGGUCUGUAAAGCUCUGUUGUUUAUGACGAACGUGCAGUGUGUGAACAAUGCAUUGCAAUGACGGUAGUAAACGAGGAAGCCACGGCUAACUACGUGCCAGCAGCCGCGGUAAUACGUAGGUGGCGAGCGUUGUCCGGAAUUAUUGGGCGUAAAGAGCAUGUANGC